AUGGAGAGUUUGAUCCUGGCUCAGGACGAACGCUGGCGGCGUGCUUAACACAUGCAAGUCGAACGGAAAGGCCCGCUUGCGGGUACUCGAGUGGCGAACGGGUGAGUAACACGUGGGUGAUCUGCCUUGCACUCUGGGAUAAGCUUGGGAAACUGGGUCUAAUACCGGAUAGGAACCGUCUUUAGUGUGGUGGUUGGAAAGUUUUUUCGGUGCAAGAUGAGCUCGCGGCCUAUCAGCUUGUUGGUGGGGUGAUGGCCUACCAAGCCGACGACGGGUAGCCGGCCUGAGAGGGUGACCGGCCACACUGGGACUGAGACACGGCCCAGACUCCUACGGGAGGCAGCAGUGGGGAAUAUUGCGCAAUGGGCGAAAGCCUGACGCAGCGACGCCGCGUGAGGGAUGAAUGCCUUCGGGUUGUAAACCUCUUUCAGCAGGGAAGAAGCGAGAGUGACGGUACCUGCAGAAGAAGCACCGGCUAACUACGUGCCAGCAGCCGCGGUAAUACGUAGGGUGCAAGC
rnacentral:rRNA from 1 species